rnacentral:rRNA from 1 species
ACGCCGCGUGAAGGAAGACGGUUUUCGGAUUGUAAACUUCUGUCAGCAGGGAAGAAAAUGACGGUACCUGACUAAGAAGCCCCGGCUAACUACGUGCCAGCAGCCGCGGUAAUACGUAGGGGGCAAGCGUUAUCCGGAUUUACUGGGUGUAAAGGGUACGUAGGCGGCCCAUUAAGUCAGAUGUGAAAGCCCGAGGCUCAACCUCGGGACUGCAUUUGAAACUGGUGGGCUAGAGUACAGGAGAGGAAAGCGGAAUUCCUAGUGUAGCGGUGAAAUGCGUAGAUAUUAGGAAGAACACCAGUGGCGAAGGCGGCUUUCUGGACUGUAACUGACGCUGAGGUACGAAAGCGUGGGGAGCGAACAGGAUUAGAUACCCUGGUAGCCCACGCCGUAAACGAUGAAUGCUAGGUGUCGGGAGUCGAAUCUCGGUGCCGCAGUUAACGCAAUAAGCAUUCCACCUGGGGAGUACGAUCGCAAGAUUGAAACUCAAAGGAAUUGACGGAAUCU